rnacentral:rRNA from 1 species
CGCGCAGGCGGCCAGGUCAGUCGAAUGUGAAAGCCCCCGGCUCAACUGGGGAGGGUCAUUCGAUACUGCCUGGCUCGAAGAUAGGAGAGGGAAGCGGAAUUUCAGGUGUAGUGGUGAAAUGCGUAGAUAUCUGAAGGAACACCAGUGGCGAAGGCGGCUUUCUGGCCUAUCCUUGACGCUGAGGCGCGAAAGCUAGGGGAGCGAACG